rnacentral:rRNA from 1 species
UUUAACUAAAGAAGAAGCAAAGACCGCGAGGUAGAGCAAAUCUCAAAAAAACAAUCUCAGUUCAGACUGCAGGCUGCAACUCGCCUGCACGAAGUCGGAAUUGCUAGUAAUCGUAGGUCAGCAUACUACGGUGAAUACGUUCCCAGGCCUUGUACACACCGCCCGUCAAACCAUGAGAGUUGGCAACACCCGAAGUCGGUAGUCUAACCGCAAGGAGGACGCCACCGAAGGUGGGGUUGAUGAUUAGGGUUAAGUCGUAACAAGGUACC